rnacentral:rRNA from 1 species
UACAACUUUCAACAACGGAUCUCUUGGCUCUCGCAUCGAUGAAGAACGCAGCGAAAUGCGAUAAGUAAUGUGAAUUGCAGAAUUCAGUGAAUCAUCGAAUCUUUGAACGCACCUUGC